GGUAGUCCACCCCGUAAACGUUGGGAACUAGUUGUGGGGACCAUUCCACGGUUUCCGUGACGCAGCUAACGCAUUAAGUUCCCCGCCUGGGGAGUACGGCCGCAAGGCUAAAACUCAAAGGAAUUGACGGGGACCCGCACAAGCGGCGGAGCAUGCGGAUUAAUUCGAUGCAACGCGAAGAACCUUACCAAGGCUUGACAUAUACGAGAACGGGCCAGAAAUGGUCAACUCUUUGGACACUCGUAAACAGGUGGUGCAUGGUUGUCGUCAGCUCGUGUCGUGAGAUGUUGGGUUAAGUCCCGCAACGAGCGCAACCCUCGUUCUAUGUUGCCAGCACGUAAUGGUGGGAACUCAUGGGAUACUGCCGGGGUCAACUCGGAGGAAGGUGGGGAUGACGUCAAAUCAUCAUGCCCCUUAUGUCUUGGGCUUCACGCAUGCUACAAUGGCCGGUACAAAGGGCUGCAAUACCGUGAGGUGGAGCGAAUCCCAAAAAGCCGGUCCCAGUUCGGAUUGAGGUCUGCAACUCGACCUCAUGAAGUCGGAGUCGCUAGUAAUCGCAGAUCAGCAACGCUGCGGUGAAUACGUUCCCGGGUCUUGUACGCACCGCCCGUCAAGUCAUGAAAGUCGGUAACACCUGAAGCCGGUGGCCCAACCCUUGUGGAGGGAGCCGUCGAAGGUGGGAUCGGUAAUUAGGACUAAGUCGUAACAAGGUAGCCGUACCGGAAGGUGC
rnacentral:rRNA from 1 species